rnacentral:rRNA from 1 species
GCGUAGGCGGCCAAUUAAGUCAAAUGUGAAAUCCCCGAGCUUAACUUGGGAAUUGCAUUCGAUACUGGUUGGCUAGAGUAUGGGAGAGGAUGGUAGAAUUCCAGGUGUAGCGGUGAAAUGCGUAGAGAUCUGGAGGAAUACCGAUGGCGAAGGCAGCCAUCUGGCCUAAUACUGACGCUGAGGUACGAAAGCAUGGGGAGCAAACAGGAUUAGAUACCCUGGUAGUCCAUGCCGUAAACGAUGUCUACUAGCCGUUGGGGCCCUUGAGGCUUUAUUGGCGCAGCUAACGCGAUAAGUAGACCGCCUGGGGAGUACGGUCGCAAGACUAAAACUCAAAUGAAUUGACGGGGGCCCGCACAAGCGGUGGAGCAUGUGGUUUAAUUCGAUGCAACGCGAAGAACCUUACCUGGCCUUGACAUACAGAGAACUUUCCAGAGAUGGAUUGGUGCCUUCGGGAACUCUGAUACAGGUGCUGCAUGGCUGUCGUCAGCUCGUGUCGUGAGAUGUUGGGUUAAGUCCCGCAACGAGCGCAGCCCUUUUCCUUAUUUGCCAGCACUUCGGGUGGGAACUUUAAGGAUACUGCCAGUGACAAACUGGAGGAAGGCGGGGACGACGUCAAGUCAUCAUGGCCCUUACGGCCAGGGCUACACACGUGCUACAAUGGUCGGUACAAAGGGUUGCUACACAGCGAU